AUACAUUUGUUGCCUGUUGACCUAACCUGGAUCAUACUGCAUAAGGAUGCUACUGUUUCCAAAGCACUUUGACAUUUCAGAUAACAUAUUGGAAAAGGAGUAUAAUUUUUAAAGGAAGAGGCUUUUGUGAGAGCAUUGACAUUUAAAGGACAGCAGAGAAGAUCCUGAACAGAGACCUGAGUAUAAGCUACACAGAGAGCGGAAAAAACCUUGCGAAUCCCUGCAUGCUGUAUGAAUUUUCUAUUACAGCAUACCAAAUCUACAAACUCAGCCCGAAAACAACACACGUUUACCUCACUUUUUCUGAAGGUAAGGGACCGGGGCAUGCGUUAGCUGGGUCCUUUGCUCAGAGACUUACCAGAUCUACCUCCAGUGUUGCGGGGUCUGUGAUCUCUUCAAAUAUUUGUGUUCUUCAGGCUCAUUUAGUUGUUGGCAAAGCUCAUCUCCUUGUUGUUGUAGGAGUGAAGUCUCCAUUUAUUUUUCGUGACUGGCUGACUGCCUCUUAGACCUAGCUACUUGAUCCUCUCACAUCAUGGUAGCUUACUUCUUUAAAGCCACAAGCAGAAUCUCUCUCCUGUCUGAUACGAAGGACAGGAGUCUUUGUGACAUAAUCAUGGCAGUGACUAUACCAUCGUUUUUGCCAGUAAGGGUAAUAAGUAAGAGAACUGCUGUCCCAUUGUAUUCACUGGUCGCCCUCCUACUCAAGAAGAGGAGAUUAUGCAGAGCAUGUACACCAGAGUUCAGGAACCCCGGAGGCCACCUUAGAAGUCUGCCUGUUUAUGUGGCUGGAGAUGAGUCUUUUUACACAGAAGCUGAGGAAAAUGCCUAUCAAAAUUUCCUAGUAAAGCUCACCACUGGUGCAACUCAGUUAAAAGCCAGGUGGCAUGGGAGUCCUGCAGACAUAGCCCACCUCUGUCAGUGUCCUGAGUCAAGAGCAGGACUGGCAAGGUUGGAAAGUGGAUGUGGAGGAGCAAGGAAGAGAGAGCUGUAUUUAGAAGAGUUUGAAUUGUUUGCAGCAUACAUUGAUGAACAACCCAGAAAAUGUCCAUCUGAGCUCCAAAGAACCUGUUAAGACAAUAUUUCAGGUAAAGCAAUUUGUAUGUUGGGGUCAAUCAAUACCAACUUCCAUUAUAUCUGCUAAACAAUCCAAGGCCACUGGUUGGAGCCAUGCAAUAUCAAAAUAGGAAUUUCAAAAAUUAAAAGGUUACUCUCAGAAACCUGUUAUUUUACAUAUACAAGUUUUAAAAAGACUUUUACUGAUAUUUUAAGUUAUCUAGUGAAUUUAUGGAAUAUAUAUAUGCAAACUAUGAACCAUAUUCCCUUGCAAUUGUAUUUCCUUAUUUAUUAUUAGUCAUUUUUAUAAAAAAUAUAAUAAGAAAUUGAAUUUCUAGAGAAUUUUCUUCAAGUAGUUUAAUCUUGUUGAAAAUUGCAGACAAUGAUAUAAAUAUAAAGCAUUGUAGGGAAAAUAUAUAUAUAUAUUAUUUUCUGCAUAUAAGGAGGAAAAUAUUCACUAAACUUCUUAUAAAAGAAAUUCUUAGAAAUCACAUUUUAAAGUUCAAUCAAUCUUUUUUUGAACAGCAUGGUUCACAAAAAAAUUAAUGAAAGAUCCAGACCUAUUUAUAACCUCCCCUCAAAUCCUUGGCUAAGCCCAGAAUGGGAUGCCAUGGAGCUCCGUGGAAAACCACAUCUCAAAGCAUGAAGAAGUUGAACAGAAGUUUAGCAGCUGGUUAAUGCAAAGGAAAGACUUAGCAGUUUGAGUAUCUUCAACAUAGAGGGUUUUGGGAAACAUCAGUCUUUUCAGUGAAACAUAGGAUGGCUUUGUCUCACAAGGAAAGACAGCAUUACAAAUCUCUGGGUUCAAGAGCAAACUGAAACAGACACUCUCUAAAGCUCUAAAUUAUAGACUCUAUAAGUUGAAGGUGAGCAGCCAAAAGUUUGGCUGUCUACUUGAACAGAAAUCAGUUCUCUUCAGUGAAAGAUAAAAGAAGCAAGAGUCUCAACAGUAUAUCAUCCAAAAUGUCUAGCAAGCCAUAAAAAUGACUAGAUAUAGGAUGGUGUAGGAAAAUAUGACU
rnacentral:lncRNA from 1 species